rnacentral:misc_RNA from 1 species
UUUCUUACAAAAAAAUGUAAAGCAUUUGCCCAUAGUGAUGCCUUAUCUUGUGCAAUGUGUUAUGGAAGGUAAUGAAAGGUCCUUUGAUUCUUCAUAAUAUUUAUAUUUUCAUCUUUUAUUCAUUUGUUCCUUCUCUUCAAUUCAUAAAUUUAUGUAAUUGUGGAAUUGGUUGUACUUUUUAUUACCAAGUCAUUUUUUUUUCCUUGUGUUAAUUUGACAACAUAAAAUGAGCAGAGUGAAAUUAUGCAUUGGUUGACUGAUAUGAUUUUCUAACUGGCACAUUGGGAUUUUAUACAUGAUUCUGUUUUCAAUUGAAUGUUAUAAUUAUGCCACUCAUCUUCUACAUGUUGCAAGAGAAUUAUGCAGAAAUUGACAAGCUGUAAGUGCAUUAGUUGAUAAAAUGAUGAACCUCCUAAUAUUUAAAUUUUUUGGCUAAUUGAUGAUUUAUAUUGUUGUUCUCAAAAAUGUAAUGCAGUGCCUGCCCCUAGUCCUAUGGAUAUUUUUGGUGUAAACAAUAUGACCAUUGAUC